rnacentral:rRNA from 1 species
ACUAGGAAUUUUGCGCAAUGGGGGCAACCCUGACGCAGCGACACAGCGUGGAGGAGGAAGGUCUUCGGAUUGUAAACUCCUUUUAUAUGGGAAGAAUAGAUGACUGUACCAUAUGAAUAAGCACCUGCUAACUACGUGCCAGAAGCAUCGGUGAUGCGUAGGGUGCGAACGUUAUCCGGAUUUAUUGGGCGUAAAGAGAUGCGUAGGCGUUUCAGUUAGUCUUUCGUUAAAAGUCACGGCUUAACCGUGAAGAUGCGUUGGAUACUGCUGAAAUUGAGACAUGAAGGGGUGAACGGAACUCCAAGUGGAGCGGUGAAAUGCGUUGAUAUUUGGAAGAACAUCAGAGGCGAAGGCGGUUCACUGGUCAUUGUCUGACGCUAAGGCUCGAAAGCGUGGGUAGCAAAACGGAUUAGAAACCCUGGUAGUCC